CGGCUCACCGGGGCUCUGUGCCGGAGCUGCGGUGCGCUGCGUGUCCCUGGCUAUAUUAGGGCACGCUCAUGCCCUGCUUCGAAAGUGUUCCUAAACCAGCCAGCGGUUUGCUGCCUUUUAUUUUUCACUUUCCCGUCGAGGACAGCGUGCUUUGUCAUGUUUCACCUCGUUCCUUGCACCCGCCCAGGCAAUCUGUUGGCAGUGCCGUGCACUGGGCCGGCACGUGUCGGCGCGACGCACUCCCAUUUCCAUCAGCCUCGAGCGGUGACUGAUGGCCGGAGUGCGCUGCGGGGCUGGGCGCUGAAAACCUCGAGCUGGGGAGCCAGGAGAGGACAGCUGGGAGUGCUGGCCCCGCGGCGCUUGGGGUUUGUGGGAUAAGCUCGCUCGCUGAUGGUUUCUGUAAACAUCCAGCUGUGAAACACUUGAGCAGUGCUAGCACUUUCAAUUAUCAGGAAGUUUCAGGCUCAGCACCCUGUCGAGAUGAGCAGGCAGUUUCCACUUCUGUCUGAGCUAUUGUUUCAGGCUAUCUUCAAACUCGGGCAGAGCCUUCCAAGCAUGAAGCAAGCGCAAAGCCACACGGCGCCGCAACCAUAAAGACAAGGACUGAGGGGAGAGAAGCAGCACCAUGAAGCUCCUGAGCGGGGGAACGGAUCCCAUAACAAAUCCUGCUGCUUUGUAGGGUGGCAAGACCCCAGAUAGCCACACUGCCAUCACAUGUCUGUAUCGCAG